rnacentral:rRNA from 1 species
CAGCCCUAAACGAUGCGCGUUAGGUGUAUCGGUGACCACGAGUCACCGAGGUGCCGAAGGGAAACCGUGAAACGUGCCGCCUGGGAAGUACGGUCGCAAGGCUGAAACUUAAAGGAAUUGGCGGGGGAGCACCACAACGGGUGGAGCUUGCGGUUUAAUUGGAUUCAACGCCGGAAAUCUUACCGGGACCGACAGCAACAUGAAGGCCAAGCUGAAGACUUUGCCGGAUUAGCUGAGAGGAGGUGCAUGGCGUAGACGUCU